rnacentral:lncRNA from 1 species
CCCAUCCCGCGGCCCCGGACCCGCGGUCCCCCGCCGCCGCCGCUCGCACUUCCUCUUCCUUCCUCCUGCUGGCCGGGCCGCGACGUGCAGCCCGCGGGGCUCCGGCACCUGCGGGGACCGGACGGGCCCAGCCGCCUCUCUUCGGUCACGGCUGUGCCUCCUCCCGCACGGCUCCGGAGGAGAGUUCCCACCGUCCUCGCUGCCUUUACAAUACGAAGAGCCAACCGUAUCCUGGGCUGCAUCAAAGGAAGAGUGGCCAGCAGGGAGAGGGAGGUGAUCCUGCCCCUCUGCUCUGCCUGCCCUGAGGUGAGACCUCACCUGGAGUACCGCGUCCAGAUGUGGAGUCCUCAGUACGGGAGAGACAUGGAGCUGUUGGAGUGCAUCCGGAGGAGGGCCACAGAAAUGACCCAAGGGGUGGAACACCUCUCCUAUGAGGACAGGCUGAGGGAGUUGGGCCUGGAGAAGAGAAGGCUCCGAGAUGACCUAAUAGCAGCUCCGGUGCUUUGUUUGAAAUCAUCCCUGCAGGGCCCAGUGCUUCAGAUUACAGCUGGCAGUGAGAUACAGCAGUGUUCAGGGGCUCCUGGCCCCGCAGCACCACAGGCACCCCACAGGGUUGCACCUCUGUCACAAGAAGGACAAGUGGCACGAGGACUAGCAAAAGUGAGUCCUGCAGGCUGCAACACGUCACAUAACGGUACACGAGCUCUGAGCAAUUAAUUGGGCAUGAGGCAGAAAGAGGCAUGACUCACCUGAGCCACGCGCUGCUGUAUUUGUAGGAGUGGAGCACGGGCACUGCGUGGCUCUGCAUAGCAUGUGAGAUGUCUCCGUGGCAGGAAUUCCCCACAGUUAUGAGGCACUUCCUCAGAGCCACUGGGCUUUGGGACCUCCUCCAAUGGUAAAAUCCACAGAGAAGCCAGACUGGGAUGUGUUGGUUCCUACGGUCAAUAUACAUUUCAAAGCACCUUCUUACACUGCUUUGUUAAGGUAGAACUCUGAAACUGAAAAUACAAGGUCCACAUAGAUAUUAUUUUAGGAAAAAAAAAGUUCUUCUCUGAAACAGUAGUCAGGCACAGGCACAGGCUGCCCAGGGGAGUGGUGGAGUCACCAUCCCUGGAGGUGUUCAAGAAACACGUAGAUGUGGCACUGAGGGUCAUGGUUAGUGGGCAAUAUUGAUGAUGGGUUGACAGUUGGACUAGAUUAUCUUGGAGGUCUUUUCCAACCUUAAUGAUUCUAUGAUUUUGUGUUAUGAAGCCACUUAUCAAAUCGUCUCGAGAGUUCCUGAUGGCCAAUUAUAGUGUUCUCAAUGAAGGAUGGGAGUAGUCCCAAGCAGAUGGCUGUUCAGUGUGCAGCUGGACUACGUAAUAUUGAGAUUUUUUUCUAUGUCUGUGUACCCGUAUUAUGGUCCUGAAAUAAAAGCAGGAUGUGUUUACAGCUUAGAAAAGGACAUUGUGAAUACACAGUGAGAUGUAUGAAAGUUUUGUUUACCUCACCUUCCACUGUUGGUGCAGGAGCUGUUUCUGUGUGUCCUCUCUUAGGGGCUGGCAUCAGCAGUGAAAAUGAGCACAUAUACCAGGCGGUAGGAGGGAUGCUUGGAAGAAUAUUAAGAAUGAACAGUACUUUAAAUGUUUUCUAUUUUAAACCCUUAACACCACAGUUUUGAUCUUCCUCCUUUGGCUCUCAGGUUCAUCAAUGGAAAUCAUAAAAGAUCAAUUUCAGCCGCACAUGACUAUAAUAUUUCGAUUUCAAACGGCGUGGGAGAAUGUGUAUUUAACAAUGCUAUUGUUGUUCAGUUUAGAAGAGAAUAUGUGAAGUACUUUCCAGACUGUGGGGACAAAGGUAAGCGCACUGUUAUACUGAAUGUUCCUGAGAGACAGCAAGCAAGAGAGCCACUGCGCACAGCCCAGUGAAGCCCCCUGCUCACCCACAGACAGCAUUGCAACUCUUGCUCCAAUAGCACUAGUAUUUUUUUCUCCAAAACUUGCUUGGAAUGUAUAUUUACAGAAGCGUGUGGAUGCUGUGGGCAUGUUCUAAUUUAUUUAAUAGCAGUCCUUCCCAUGGUGUCUGCUGCCAAACACGUGCUGUCGUUAUAACUGUGGUGUGUCAUAACACAGUGGAGUUGUUCUGAUGUUGUGAGCAUAAGAAGUUUGCUAAAUAAUUCUAGAAAGCCAGAAGAGGGAGUGCAGGAACAGAAAACACCCAGAAUUAAGCAUCUUAAUUGAUGUGGCUAUUUCAGCUGCAACCUUAAAAAAAGUAAAUCCAGGAAGGACUGGUGUCCUGCUUGGCUCUCUGACAACAGGAAUGUGU